ACCGGGGUGCAGCAGGCGCGAAACCUCCGCAAAUGUGAGAAAUCGCGACGGGGGGAUCCCAAGUGCCAUUCUUAACGGGAUGGCUUUUCAUUAGUGUAAAGAGCUUUUGGAAUAAGGGCUGGGCAAGACCGGUGCCAGCCGCCGCGGUAACACCGGCAGCUCUAGUGGUAGCAGUUUUUAUUGGGCCUAAAGCGUCCGUAGCCGGUUUAAUAAGUCUCUGGUGAAAUCCUGUAGCUUAACUGUGGGAAUUGCUGGAGAUACUAUUAGACUUGAGACCGGGAGAGGUUAGAGGUACUCCCAGGGUAGAGGUGAAAUUCUGUAAUCCUGGGAGGACCGCCUGUUGCGAAGGCGUCUAACUGGAACGGUUCUGACGGUGAGGGACGAAGCCCUGGGUCGCAAACGGGAUUAGAUACCCCGGUAGUCCAGGGUGUAAACGCUGCAGACUUGGUGUUGGGGGCCCUACGGGGGCGUUCAGUGCCGGAGAGAAGUUGUUAAGUCUGCUACUUGGGGAGUACGUCCGCAAGGAUGAAACUUAAACGGAAUUGGCGGGGGAGCAC
rnacentral:rRNA from 1 species